rnacentral:lncRNA from 1 species
CCCCUCUUUAAGAAAAAUUUGUUUAAAAUAUGAUGUAACUCUCCUCUUUUUGAGUACAAAAUUCUAAGUGUUCAAAGGUUUUGUAUAGAAGAACUAUACAAAUCCUUGGUAUUUCUAUUUUCUUUUCUACAUCAGUAAAAUGACCCCUUGUCUGAGGGAGGGUUGUUCUCAACCUGAUAAUAACAAACACACAGGUCAAAGUACGGCCUUUUACACAGGGCUUUGAUACAGACCAAACAGUAAGCUAUAAAGGACCCCAAAAUUAUUAGCGUACACAAUUCGAACAGGAAAACCAACGAUCUAAUUUAUAUAUCCAAACGGGAAAAUACCAAUGAACAACAUCAACAAACGAUAACUGCUGAACGACAUGCUCCUGAAUCAAUCAGGACAGGUGCAUAAACAUGCAGCGGCUAUGGAUAGUUUUGUUUCGCCAGCAUACAAUAUAAUUGCAGUUGAAGGCAAAUCCUUCAGAAGUUCUUUGUACUUUAUUCUUUCACAACGAACAUUUUUUGAUAGGGAAUAUAAGUAAGGGGGAAAGAAACCAAUUUUUUGUUCUUCACGGAAAUACCCGCUGUUAUAACUUUUUAUCGGAGCACUCCAGGUUUCAUGCUGAAACAAAUAUUCUCACAGAUAUUUACACAGUGUGGUGGGGUGCUUUUAUGUUUAAAAUCGUUUAUACAGGUUAGACUGUGAUACAUUAACAAAUGUUGAUAUCUUUUUAUAAUAUUUACAAAAAAAAACGGUGCGGGAAAUGGACAUGAUUACAAUUCCGGAUGCGGGAAGCGGGAAUAUAAAAAAAUAAAAAAAAUUCUGUUUUGAAAAAAAUAGGUGCGGGCGGGUCCGUCGAACAAGGGAUCAAAUUGGUGUGGCCUAAAGG